UUGACCAAUUUCGCUCACCGGAAACCACCGCCGCCGCCGGUCGCCAUGUCGCUCAACCGCCUCAAGGAAACACUCCUUCCCUGCUCUUCCUCCUCCGCGCAGAGCCAAUCUCAACCCCGAUCGCCCUCGCCUCCUCGCCCACCGCGGAGGCCGCCCAAGACCUCCCUCUCGCAGCAGCUCCUCCGACUCGAGGCCUCCUACUCCCUGCCCGCGCCGCCACCGUCCCCUCCCAAACCCUUGAGCCAGAAGACAGCGGAGGAUGCGGCCGAACAACCGACUUCUUCGUCGGAGGAGGACGUGGCCCCCCGCCCCCGACGCCGUCCGGCCCCGCCACCAGCGGCUUCCUUUGAGCCCCGCGGGCCCUAUGAGCCACUUGUCCUCUCGCCGCUCGGAGAGCACCCCAUCGUCCAGGUGCCCCCAUCAAUUAAUUGCAGGCUACUUGCGCAUCAGAGGGAUGGUGUGAGAUUCUUAUACAAUCUGUAUAGAAACAACCAUGGCGGCGUGCUUGGAGAUGAUAUGGGAUUGGGAAAGACUAUUCAAACAAUAGCAUUUUUAUCCUCUGUUAUUGGAAAAGAUAAUAAUCAGGGCGAGAAAUCAACAGACAAAGGAAAGAAGUCCAGUCCUGUACUCAUCCUCUGUCCCACUUCAGUAAUUCGGAAUUGGGAAAAUGAAUUUUCUGAGUGGGCAAAUUUUUCUGUUGCUGUCUAUCAUGGUCCAAAUCGUGACUUAGUUCUUGAAAAAAUUGAAGGUCAAGGACUAGAGGUGCUCAUUACCAGUUUUGAUACUUUUAGGACUCGUGACAAGGUUUUAUGUGACAUCUCAUGGGAACUAGUGGUGGUUGAUGAGGCACACCGACUCAAGAAUGAAAAAUCGAAGUUAUAUACAGCCUGCUUGGGAAUUACUACACAAAAACGCUUUUGUCUCACAGGAACCAUAAUGCAGAACAAGAUAAUGGAAUUAUUUAAUGUGUUUGACUGGGUUGUACCUGGUUGUUUGGGGGACCGAGAACACUUUAGAGAAUAUUAUGACGAGCCCUUAAAACAUGGCCAGAGAUUAAGCGCUCCUGAGAGAUUUGUUCAAGUUGCUGAUAAGCGCAAGAAGCACCUUGUCUCUGUUCUAAAGAAAUUCCUGUUGAGAAGAACAAAAGAGGAGACUAUUGGGCAUCUCAUGCUUGGGAAGGAAGAUAAUAUUGUUUUCUGCAGAAUGAGUGAUGUUCAAAAACGUGUUUAUAGAAGAAUGCUGCAACAGCCUGACAUACAAAUCCUUGUAAAUAAGGAUCUCCCCUGUAGCUGUGGAAGUCCUCUGACUCAGGUUGAGUGUUGCAAGAAAAUUGAACCACGUGGCAUUAUCUGGUCCUAUCUCCACAGAGAGAAUCUGGAUGGCUGUCCUCUAUGCCCCUUCUGCCUUGUUCUUCCUUGCCUUGUCAAGCUUCAGCAGAUUAGUAACCAUCUGGAAUUGAUAAAGCCCAAUCCAAGGGAUGAGAUUGAGAAGCAGAAGAAAGACGCUGAGCUUGCGGCUGCUGUCUUUGAUACAGAUAUUGAAUUAGUUGGCGGUAGUGCUAAAAGUGAGAAUUUCAUGGGUCUCAGUGACUCAGAACACUGUGGAAAGAUGCGUGCACUGGAAAGACUUCUGUCUUUGUGGACCCUACAGGGUGACAAGAUUCUUCUUUUCAGCUAUUCUGUCAGAAUGCUCGACAUACUAGAGAAGUUUCUUAUAAGGAAGGGUUACUGCUUUUCUCGCUUAGACGGGUCAACACCCAUGAAUGCACGCCAAUCGCUAGUUGACGAAUUCAACAAAAGCCCUAGCAAACAGGUUUUUCUUAUAUCUACCCGGGCAGGCAAUUUAGGCGUUAACCUUGUCAGUGCUAACCGUGUGGUGAUUUUUGAUCCAAGUUGGAAUCCUGCACAAGACUUGCAAGCACAGGACAGAUCGUUCCGAUUUGGACAGAAACGGCAUGUCACAGUAUUUCGCCUACUUGGAGCUGGAUCCCUAGAAGAACUCAUUUAUUCUCGACAAAUAUAUAAACAACAGCUUUCCAACAUUGCAGUCUCAGGGAAAAUAGAAAAGCGAUACUUUGAUGGUGUGCAGGAUGACAAGAAAUUUCAGGGUGAGCUCUUUGGGAUCUGUAAUCUGUUCCGUGACUUGUCUGAUAAGCUUUUUACUAGUGAGAUUAUUGAGAUGCACGGAGAGGAUGAGAAAGCUAAAACAUCUGAAGAAACAGGGAUAAGAGAAAUAGUUGACACUGAUUUAUUUGGUACACAAGGGCAAAUGAAAUCAUCCACGGCAGCAAUAGGUGAUGAAAAUCAGGCAUUGGCUGAUUAUGGAGUUGUGUAUGCUCACCGGAACGAGGACGUUGUUAACUCUAGGACGCACGACGACGACAACAACGAAAGAAACGACGACGCGACAGAAGAACGCGUCGAGGGCACCUCGGAAGGCCUGCAUAGUAAGAAGCAAAUAAAGCCCACGGCGGACAGGGCGAAACUUCGCUCGGUGGAGGAACAGAAACGGAAGGAGUUCAGCCGUAUCGCGGCCUGUGUGGGUAUGAACGACCUCGAGUUCAGCAAGUGGCUGCUAUCCGUCUCUCCUAUGCAGCGGCAGCGGGUCCUGGACGAUCAUAGGAAGAAAAGAAGUUUCACCGAACAAUAAAUUACGCAGGGCUUCUUCAGAUUUUUUUUUGCUUCAUAUUUUUUGGAAGGCCUUGAGAGUGGAGUAGUGCCGAGCUUUCACAUAUGCUUUGGCUGUCUAGCAAGGGAAGGCGAGACGAAAGUUGGCUCUAAGCUUGCGUGACCAUAAACAUGACGCCCAAAUCAAAUCGGUGCUCCAGGGAACAGCAAUGAAGUCGCAACAGCGCUUGCUUAAGAGGAGGAACUCUUGCCUACCAAAACUUUGACAUCAGUUGGACAUAACAUCAGAUCAUCCGCACAACGAUGCAGAGUAUUGUGUGGUUCGACGGCUCAGUGGUUUGUUCUAUUUUUCGCUCAUGUCUUUCGAUACUACUUCCUCGGUCCCAAAUUACUACUUGUCGCAUAAAUGAUGUAUCUAAAACUAAAAAGUACGUCUUCAUUUCUGUAAGUAAUUUAGAACGGAGGGAGUAUAAAUAUCUACAUUAUCAAAAAAAUAAAUUAUUGUUCACUCCUUUCAUCGCUUUUACUUAGGUCCAGUUCUUUUCAGCUUAUGGAGGGGCUUAGUUGAGGAUCUCAGGUCAAACCCAAAAAGAUCUGGUUUUCUAAGCAGGGCUUUACUUCCAAGCCGCCGCUCGCCCUAUGUAGUUGGAAGCAGACGAAGGGAGUCAAUUUUCGACGUAACCCUGUAACCCUAAGGCCCUGUUUGGUUCGGCCGUGGAUUUCUAAAAGCAGCUGUGAAAAUCUGCUGUGGAAAAACAACUAUGGAAAAUCUGAUGUAAAAAAGAUGUAGGUCAUUUGUCAAACCAGCUGAUACAACUUUUUCAG